rfam:Felis catus isolate Cinnamon breed Abyssinian chromosome B1, whole genome shotgun sequence.
GCCUGGGUGGCUCAGUCGGUUGAGCAUCUGACUUUGGCUCAGGUCAUGAUUUCAUGGCUGGUGAGUUCAAGCCCCAUGUCAGGCU